rnacentral:rRNA from 1 species
CGGGGUGCAGCAGGCGCGAAAACUUUACAAUGCGGGAAACCGUGAUAAGGGGACACCGAGUGCCAGCAUCAUAUGCUGGCUGUCCAGGUGUGUAAAAUACACCUGUUAGCAAGGGCCGGGCAAGACCGGUGCCAGCCGCCGCGGUAACACCGGCGGCCCGAGUGGUGAUCGUGAUUAUUGGGUCUAAAGGGUCCGUAGCCGGUUUGGUCAGUCCUCCGGGAAAUCUGACGGCUCAACCGUUAGGCUUUCGGGGGAUACUGCCAGGCUUGGAACCGGGAGAGGUAAGAGGUACUACAGGGGUAGGAGUGAAAUCUUGUAAUCCCUGUGAGACCGCCUGUGGCGAAGGUGUCUUACCAGAACGGGUUCGACGGUGAGGGACGAAAGCUGGGGGCACGAACCGGAUUAGAUACCCGGGUAGUCCCAGCCGUAAACGAUACUCGCUAGGUGUCAGGCAUGGCGCGACCGUGUCUGGUGCCGCAGGGAAGCCGUGAAGCGAGCCACCUGGGAAGUACGGCCGCAAGGCUGAAACUUAAAGGAAUUGGCGGGGGAGCACAAGGG